rnacentral:rRNA from 1 species
UACGUAGGGGGCAAGCGUUGUCCGGAAUCAUUGGGCGUAAAGAGCUCGUAGGCGGCUCAGUAAGUCGGGUGUGAAACCUCCAGGCUCAACCUGGAGACGCCACCCGAUACUGCUGUGGCUAGAGUCCAGUAGGGGAGUGUGGAAUUCCCGGUGUAGCGGUGAAAUGCGCAGAUAUCGGGAGGAACACCAGCGGCGAAGGCGGCACUCUGGGCUGGUACUGACGCUGAGGAGCGAAAGCGUGGGUAGCAAACGAGGAAUUAUGAA